UCGUCGAUGAUUGGGUCGCUGCCUGCGGGUGGGUCCCUCAGUACUGCUCGUGUCUCGUGCCGGCCCUUUGGGGUUGGUGUGGGGUGUGGGUGUGGAACCUGGGGUCUGUUGGUGGGUGGUGGCUGUUCGGACACACUGUUGGGUCCUGAGGGAUCAGGCUCCGCAUCGUCUCCUGCUGAAUUGGGGGGUGGUGGGGGUUGGUUUCUCUGGUUGUCUCCUCCUUUGUCUGCUCCGCGACCGGUUGGUUGGGGGUGGGGGUUGGUGGGGUUGUUGUUUGAGAUCUGCAUAGUGGACGCGAGCAUUUAAUUCAUGCCCCCGACUUUUUUUGUUGGGGGUGUGGUUGUGCAUGAUUGUUUUGUUGUUCUUGUGGUGUUGUCUUGUGGCGUUGCAUGUUUGUGUUGUUGUGACGUUGUUGA
rnacentral:misc_RNA from 1 species